GUGGACAGGAGGAGGACCUAAGUGGACCCGGAGGCUGAGCUGGCCUCGCAGCACUGGUGGUGGGGGAGGGCUGAUGGUCAGGACUCUGGGUCUUUGGCACUGCUGCCUAGGCCGUGGCCCUCAGUCUGCCCAUCUGUGAAAUGAGGGGGAGCUGGUCCUGACUGCCUCCCAGGGACCCUGUGAAAAGCCGCUCUGAACUCCUUGCCAGAGAGGAGGUUUGCCGGUGCCACAAUCCAGGACUCCACAGCCAUCAACUUCCCUUCAUCCUUGCCGUGUCUUUGAAAGACUGGAUGAUGAGAGGCACAGCUGAGUCCGGAGCAGACUGAGCCACCUAAGAGGGGAGGAACCGCUGCAGAGAAACCGUGUUAAGCCUUUUUGAAGUUCCAGAGGGAGAACAAGAGAGCGGAGGCUCCUGGUGGCUGGUGACAGGAGCCUGCAGAGCCACUGCCCUGACAGGGGACACCUCACUUCCUCUCCUUGCAGCUGCUCUUGGCUGGGAGAGCAGAGAACAGGGGACAGGAGAGAAGCCCCGAGAGUACUGAAGCUGAGGCUGGGGCGGUCUUCACUUCCCUCUUUCCUCGGCCCUUUUCCUGUUCUCUUGUCUUGUCUCUCUUUCUCUACUUUCCUUCUCCCUAGCCCAGUCUCUCACCGCUCUUCAGCCUCUGGGCCUUUCCUUCUUCCUCUCUUGCCCUCAUUCUUCCUUCUCUGUCCCUCUUGUCUUCUCUUUUACCUCUUCUCUUCUUCCCUCCUUCCUACAGCUAUGCCCUCUUCCCUCCUUUCUCUUGUCCCCAACCAGGGCAUUAGAAAUGCAUUCCAGUUACACUGAUCUGAUCACUGCAUAUUGUAUGCAUGCAUCAAAAUAUCACAUGUACCCCAGAAAUAUGUAAAUUACUGCAUAUCAAUAAAAAGAAAUGUAGCUUCUUUGCCUCA
rnacentral:lncRNA from 1 species